AACGAACGCUGGCGGCAUGCCUAACACAUGCAAGUCGAGCGCGCCCUUCUGGUUGCACGGCGGACGGGUGGGUAACGCGUGGGAACGUUCCCUUUUCUACGGAAUCGCCUCCGGGAACUGACAGUAAUUCCGUCUACGCCCGUUGGGGGAAAGAUUUAACGGGCAGGGGUCGGCCCGCGUUGGAUUAGGUCGUUGGGGGGGUAAUGGCAUAUCACGCCGACGAGGCAUAGCUGGGUUGAGAGGAUGUUCAGCCACACUGUGAGUGAGACACGGCCCAGACUCCCGCGGGAGGGAGGAGUGGGGAAUCCCAGAAAAGGGGGGAGACUGUGAGAGAGACACGGCGCGGGAGUGAUGAAGGCAUUAGGGGUGUAAAGCUCUUUCAGCUGGGAAGAUAAUGACGGUACCAGCAGAAGAAACACCGGCUAACUCCGUG
rnacentral:rRNA from 1 species